rnacentral:rRNA from 1 species
UACGGAGGGGACUAGCGUUGUUCGGAAUUACUGGGCGUAAAGCGCACGUAGGCGGCUUUGUAAGUUAGAGGUGAAAGCCCGGGGCUCAACUCCGGAAUUGCCUUUAAGACUGCAUCGCUAGAACGUCGGAGAGGUAAGUGGAAUUCCGAGUGUAGAGGUGAAAUUCGUAGAUAUUCGGAAGAACACCAGUGGCGAAGGCGACUUACUGGACGACCGU